UUACUUUGGCAGUAUAUCUAUUAAAAUUGGAAUGCUACUGAGAAGAUUAGUAUGGUCCCUGAGCAAGGAUGACAUGCAAAUUUAUGAAGUGUUCAAUAUUUAU